rnacentral:rRNA from 1 species
CGGGGGGAGCAAGCGUUGUUCGGAUUUACUGGGCGUAAAGGGCGCGUAGGCGGCCACCGCAAGUCGACUGUGAAAUCUCCGGGCUUAACCCGGAAAGGUCAGCCGAUACUGCGGGGCUAGAGUGCGGAAGGGGCAACUGGAAUUCUCGGUGUAGCGGUGAAAUGCGUAGAUAUCGAGAGGAACACCUGCGGCGAAGGCGGGUUGCUGGGCUGACACUGACGCUGAGGCGCGAAAGCUAGGGGAGCGAACGGGAUUAGAUACCCCGGUAGUCCUAGCCUUAAACGAUGAAUGCUUGGUGUCUGGGGUUUUAUAGUCCCCGGGUGCCGUCGCUAACGCUUUAAGCAUUCCGCCUGGGGAGUACGGUCGCAAGACUG